GGCGGACCAGAGUUGACUUAAACUCUGGGACCCGGGAGGCCAGCUCGUCCUCCUCUGUUACGUCUGAAGGACUCCGCGCUCGUCGGGUCAAAGAAGUAAACAUUGUGAAGGACACUGACAUGCUUGGGGUGAAAUUGCAAAAUAUACAGUGAUGAAGGAGUAACACCUAAUUUAAAGAUAUCUGAUCUGUGAAAUGGGGAUAUGGUACCUACCUCAUAGGAUUGUUGUCAUAACAGCACACUUGGAACAGUUCCUGGCACGUGAGAGAGAGAAACAUUGAUUUGUUCUACUUAUUUAUACAUUCAUU